UACGAAGGGAGCUAGCGUUGUUCGGAAUUACUGGGCGUAAAGCGCACGUAGGCGGGCUUAUAAGUCAGGGGUGAAAUCCCGAGGCUCAACCUCGGAACUGCCUUUGAUACUGUUAGUCUUGAGAUCGGGAGAGGUGAGUGGAAUUCCGAGUGUAGAGGUGAAAUUCGUAGAUAGUGGGAAGAACACCAGUGGCGAAGGCGGCUCACUGGCCCGAAACUGACGCUGAGGUGCGAAAGCGUGGGGAGCAAACAGG
rnacentral:rRNA from 1 species